rnacentral:rRNA from 1 species
UACGGAGGGUGCAAGCAUUGAUCGGAAUUACUGGGCGUAAAGGGCGCGUAGGCGGUAGGAUAAGUCAGAUGUGAAAUUCCGGGGCUCAACCCCGGAGCUGCAUUUGAAACUAUUUUACUAGAGUUCAGUUAGGGUAAACGGAAUUCCACGUGUAGCGGUGAAAUGCGUAGAUAUGUGGAAGAACACCAGUGGUGAAGACGGUUUACUGAGCUGAUACUGACGCUGAGGCGCGAAAGCAUGGGGAGCAAACAGG